AGCGCAGGCGGGAAGACAAGUCAGCUGUGAAAAACUAUGGGCUUAACCCAUAGAGUGCAGUUGAAACUGUUUUUUCUUGAGUGGAGUAGAGGCAGGCGGAAUUCCGAGUGUAGCGGUGAAAUGCGUAGAUAUUCGGAGGAACACCAGUGGCGAAGGCGGCCUGCUGGGCUUUAACUGACGCUGAGGCUCGAAAGUGUGGGGAGCAAACAG
rnacentral:rRNA from 1 species